rnacentral:tRNA from 1 species
GCACUGGUAAUUCAGUGGUAGAACUCUGGGCUUCCACACAGGAGACCUGGGUUCGAGCCUGGCCAAUGCC